GACGGAGGAUGCAAGUGUUAUCCGGAAUCACUGGGCGUAAAGCGUCUGUAGGUGGUUAAAUAAGUCAACUGUUAAAUCUUGAGGCUCAACCUCAAAAUCGCAGUCGAAACUAUUUGACUAGAGUAUAGUAGGGGUAAAGGGAAUUUCCAGUGGAGCGGUGAAAUGCGUAGAGAUUGGAAAGAACACCGAUGGCGAAGGCACUUUACUGGGCUAUUACUAACACUGAGAGACGAAAGCUAGGGUAGCAAAUGGG
rnacentral:rRNA from 1 species